AGUGAACUUCGUUUAAAGCGACAUCCUUUUCUGAAAUUUUGACAAAGGAAGAAUUAGAAAAAAGAUAUAGCGAAAAGCAGGUAAAAUG
rnacentral:sRNA from 1 species